UGCGGUCUACCAGCGUUAUUUCCUUCUUAUAAUCAAGUGACCAAGUUUGGAUGUUCAAAAGGGGUUGCCCCCCUCAUCUCGCCCUCCCAAGGUCUCACUAAACCAUUCAAUCGGUAGUAGCGACGGGCGGUGUGUACAAAGGGCAGGGACGUAAUCAACGCAAGCUGAUGACUUGCGCUUACUAGGAAUUCCUCGUUGAAGAGCAAUAAUUGCAAUGCUCUAUCCCCAGCACGACGGAGUUUCACAAGAUUACCUAGCCCUCUCGGGCUUGGUCGACUCGCUGGCUCGUCAGUGUAGCGCGCGUGCGGCCCAGAACGUCUAAGGGCAUCACAGACCUGUUAAUUGCCUCGAACUUCCAUCUUACUUGUAAAAGAAAAGUCCCUCUUAAGAAGCUAAGCUACCUGCAAUCGCAAGGGGGCUUAUUUAGGGAGGGUCAAGGGUCGUUUCGUUUUUUCCGCAAAUUUAAGCCGGGAAAAAAUCCACUUCCCACCAAACUUAAGGAACGGGGCCUAUUGCCCCAACCCCCCCCCCCCAAAAAAUUCUAAGGAAAAGGGGGCUUUCCAAAUUUUUUGGUUCAAAAUCCCUUUUAAUUGGGGGGUUCUUGGGAAACCCUUGGGGUGAGGGUUUUUCCCCCCGGGGGGGUGGGGGGGCCCCAAAAAUUUUAAGGGCCCGGCCCGGGCCC
rnacentral:rRNA from 1 species